UACGAAGGGGGCUAGCGUUGCUCGGAAUUACUGGGCGUAAAGGGAGCGUAGGCGGGUUAUCAAGUUGGGGGUGAAAGCCCGGGGCUCAACCUCGGAAUUGCCUUCAAAACUGAUAACCUGGAGUAUGGAAGAGGUAAGUGGAACUCCGAGUGUAGAGGUGAAAUUCGUAGAUAUUCGGAAGAACACCAGUGGCGAAGGCGACUUACUGGACACAUAUUGACGCUGAGGUGCGAAAGCGUGGGGAGCAAACAGG
rnacentral:rRNA from 1 species